rnacentral:rRNA from 1 species
CGAAAGCCUGACGGAGCAACGCCGCGUGUGGGAAGAAGGCUCUUGGGCUGUCAACCACUUUUCUCAGGGAAGAAGUCCUGACGGUACCUGAGGAAUCAGCCUCGGCUAACUCCGUGCCAGCAGCCGCGGUAAUACGGAGGAGGCAAGCGUUAUCCGGAAUUAUUGGGCGUAAAGCGUCCGCAGGGGGCGCAUCAAGUCUGCUGUUAAAGGUCGGAGCUAAACUCCGGUAGAGCAGUGGAAACUGGUGCGCUAGAGGGCGACAGGGGUAGAGGGAAUUCCCAGUGUAGCGGUGAAAUGCGUAGAGAUUGGGAAGAACACCGGUGGCGAAAGCGCUCUACUGGGUCGCACCUGACCCUCAGGGACGAAAGCCAAGGUAGCG